rnacentral:sRNA from 1 species
UAGCAGACAAAUCUAGUAGUGACACAGU